GGAAGGUCCGGGCGUUAUCCGGAUUUAUUGGGUUUAAAGGGAGCGUAGAUGGAUGUUUAAGUCAGUUGUGAAAGUUUGCGGCUCAACCGUAAAAUUGCAGUUGAUACUGGAUAUCUUGAGUGCAGUUGAGGCAGGCGGAAUUCGUGGUGUAGCGGUGAAAUGCUUAGAUAUCACGAAGAACUCCGAUUGCGAAGGCAGCCUGCUAAGCUGCAACUGACAUUGAGGCUCGAAAGUGUGGGUAUCAAACAGGAUUAGAUACCCUGGUAGUCCACACGGUAAACGAUGAAUACUCGCUGUUUGCNAUAUACAGCAAGCGGCCAAGCGAAAGCGUUAAGUAUUCCACCUGGGGAGUACGCCGGCAACGGUGAAACUCAAAGGAAUUGACGG
rnacentral:rRNA from 1 species